GAGGGAAAGGUGAAAAGCACCCCGACGAGGGGAGUGAAACAGUACCUGAAACCGAACGCCUACAAUCAGUCGGAGCUUGACUGGACUCUAAUGACAAUCUGCUCCAUUUAGUUAGUCAAACGAUUAACCUAGGAAGAGCAAAAUGUCGGAUUUAGCAUUCAUUACGGAUGGAGCAGCAGGUGUGUUGUUCCUUGUCGCUGGCCUUAUUGACGCCGGUGUCAACCAUUGUCCGAAUGAAGGAUGCCUCGCUAGGAAUGAUGUUCAGGCGUACAACAGCCUUUCCGUCGGAACGACAACGUUCCAAAAGAAAGAUGUUGGCGAAGAAAUCUAUUUUCGGCGAGACACGGGAGUUGCCAACGGUCCAUUUCAAUGGAUCUGGGGCGCCUCUGCUACGACGGAUGGAGAAUUAUGGGCGGGCCUAGGUCAGGCCGUGACAUUUUCCACCGCUAACGAUCGGUUUUACACACAACUUCAUGCAAUGGCUGGCCUGUACGAGCAGGGUAGCGGUGUGGAUUUGGGUGGGCCAAUCGAAUUCAGAUCCGGCAUCGAGUUUGGAUAUCAAAACAAAAUGGGCACACGCAUGGCUCUGAGUUUCGAUCACCGCUCGAAUGCAGGGAUUUACAGUUUGAACCCCGGUCUUGAGACCGUUCAGUUCAGAGUGUCGAUCCCAACCAAAUGAUUGUUAUCAGUGUCCAGUCUUGUGACGGCGUACCUUUUGUAUAAUGGGUCAUCGACUUGGUCUAUCUAGCAAGCUUAAGCCGUUAGGUGUAGGCGCAG
rnacentral:rRNA from 1 species